rnacentral:rRNA from 1 species
AUUGAACGCUGGCGGCAGGCCUAACACAUGCAAGUCGAACGGUAGCACAGAGAGCUUGCUCUUGGGUGACGAGUGGCGGACGGGUGAGUAAUGUCUGGGAAACUGCCCGAUGGAGGGGGAUAACUACUGGAAACGGUAGCUAAUGCCGCAUAACGUCUUCGGACCAAAGUGGGGGACCUUCGGGCCUCACACCAUCGGAUGUGCCCAGAUGGGAUUAGCUAGUAGGUGGGGUAAUGGCUCACCUAGGCGACGAUCCCUAGCUGGUCUGAGAGGAUGACCAGCCACACUGGAACUGAGACACGGUCCAGACUCCUACGGGAGGCAGCAGUGGGGAAUAUUGCACAAUGGGCGCAAGCCUGAUGCAGCCAUGCCGCGUGUAUGAAGAAGGCCUUCGGGUUGUAAAGUACUUUCAGCGGGGAGGAAGGCGAUGGAGUUAAUAGCUUCAUCGAUUGACGUUACCCGCAGAAGAAGCACCGGCUAACUCCGUGCCAGCAGCCGCCGUAA